rnacentral:rRNA from 1 species
GAUGAACGCUAGCGGCAUGCCUAACACAUGCAGGUCGAACGAAGUCCUCCGGGGCUUAGUGGCGCACGGGUGCGUAACGCGUGGGAAUCUGCCCCUUGCUUCGGAAUAACAGUUAGAAAUGACUGAUAAUAACGGAUGAUGUCGCAAGACCAAAGAUAUAUCGGCAAGGGAUGAGCCUGCGUAGGAUUAGGUAGUUGGCGGGGGAAAGGCCUACCAAGCCGACGAUCCUUAGCUGGUCUGAGAGGAUGAUCAGCCACACUGGGACUGAGACAGGGCCCAGGCUCCUACGGGAGGCAGCAGUGGGGAAUAUUGGACAAUGGACGCAAGUCUGAUCCAGCAAUGCCGCGUGAGUGAUGAAGGCCUUAGGGUUGUAAAGCUCUUUUACCCGGGAUGAUAAUGACAGUACCGGGAGAAUAAGCUCCGGCUAACUCCGUGCCAGCCGCCGCGGUAAAAC